ACUCAAAGGAAUAGACGGGGGCCCGCACAAGCGGCGGAGCAUGUGGCUUAAUUCGAAGCAACGCGAAGAACCUUACCUGGGCUUGACAUGCGGGGUGAAACCGUAGAAAUACGGCGCUCCUCGGAGCCCGCACAGGUGGUGCAUGGCUGUCGUCAGCUCGUGCCGUGAGGUGUUGCCUUAAGUGGCGCAACGAGCGCAACCCCUGUCCUUAGUUGCCAGCGGGUAAUGCCGGGAACUCUAGGGAGACUGCCGGUGCCAAACCGGAGGAAGGUGGGGAUGACGUCAAGUCAUCAUGCCCCUUAUGUCCAGGGCUGCACACAUGCUACAAUGCGCGAUACAGAGGGUUGCGAUCCCGCAAGGGGGAGCGAAUCCCAAAAAGUCGCGCUCAGUUCGGAUCGGGGUCUGCAACUCGACCCCGUGAAGUCGGAGUCGCUAGUAAUCGCAGAUCAGCAAUGCUGCGGUGAAUACGUUCCCGGGCCUUGUACACACCGCCCGU
rnacentral:rRNA from 1 species